CGAGGACGAACGCUGGCGGCGUGCCUAACACAUGCAAGUCGAACGGAGUCAGAAAGCUUGCUUUUGACUAGUGGCGGACGGGUGAGUAACGCGUGAGUAACCUGCCUCUGAGAGGGGAAUAACGUUCUGAAAAGAACGCUAAUACCGCAUAACGUAUCGAAGCCGCAUGACUUUGAUACCAAAGAUUUUAUCGCUCGGAGAUGGACUCGCGUCCGAUUAGUUAGUUGGUGAGGUAACGGCUCACCAAGACCGCGAUCGGUAGCCGGACUGAGAGGUUGAUCGGCCACAUUGGGACUGAGACACGGCCCAGACUCCUACGGGAGGCAGCAGUGGGGGAUAUUGCGCAAUGGGGGCAACCCUGACGCCAGCAACGCCGCGUGAAGGAUGAAGGUUUUCGGAUUGUAAACUUCUUUUAUCAGGGACGAAGCUUGACGGUACCUGAUGAAUAAGCUCCGGCUAACUACGUGCCAGCCGCAGC
rnacentral:rRNA from 1 species